AGGGUUCGAUUAUGGCUCAGGACGAACGCUGGCGGUGCGCCUUAUGCAUGCAAGUCGAGCGAAGCUUUUCAGUAGUUUACUACAGAAAAUGACUGAGCGGCGAACGGGUGAGUAACGCGUGAGCAACCUACCUUAGUUACUGGGAUAGCCCGAGGAAACUCGGAUUAAUACCGGAUAUUCUUAUUUAAUCACAUGAUUUUUUAAGGAAAGGUCAGCCGAACUAAGAUGGGCUCGCGUUCUAUCAGCUAGUUGGUAGGGUAAUGGCCUACCAAGGCUACGACGGAUAGCUGGUCUGAGAGGACGAUCAGCCACACUGGGACUGAGACACGGCCCAGACUCCUACGGGAGGCUGCAGCAGGGAAUAUUGCGCAAUGAGCGAAAGCUUGACGCAGCGACACCGCGUGUGGGAUGACGGAUCUAGGUUUGUAAACCACUUUCAGGAGGGAAGAAAAUGACGGUACCUCCACAAGAAGCCCCGGCCAACUACGUGCCAGCCGCCGCGGUAA
rnacentral:rRNA from 1 species